AUAUAAAUAUGCGGAGGAAAAGAAACCAAAUGGGAUCCCUAAGUAAUGGCGAAUGAAAUGGGGAAAGCUCAUUGCAAAGGCCUAUCAAGUAUAUAACUUGAUAUGCAGUGCUGCAUUCAUACAGUGUGAUAAAUGUUGCAUAAAGCACAGCUACAUAUUCCUUUGAAUGGGGUCUAUUACCCAUAGACGGUGCUAGGCCGUUAGUCGCUUGUGUAAUUAUGCACAAUCUCCUGUAUAUUAGAGUCAGGUUGCUUGAGAGUGCAACCUAAAUUUGCAGGUAAACUCCUGCAAAAGCUAAAUAAUCUGAUGAUACCGAUAGUAAACAAGUACCGUGAGGGAAAGUUGCAAAGAACUUUGAAGAGAGAGUUCAAAAGGACGUGAAACCACUUGCAAGUAAACAGAUGGAACCACGAAGUGUAGCUGAGAGGAGAAUUCAUUUUUACUUGGGGUACAGUUAUAGUGAGAGUAGUUUGUAUACUUUCUUUCUAUUUAGUUAGUUAAGUAAAGCAUAAGCUCUUCUAUAAUUAUCGAUAAAUGUUCCUCUUAUAGUAAAUGCAUUUUCACUCUUCUCAUGCUCGAGCCUUGUACAAUAGGGUGUUCAGUAUAUAAAGGAAAAUAUAACAUAGCAAUUUACAUUCUAUGUGUUCAGUAGUGUAGGGUGCAUUUAUUCUAGUAGACCUGUCUAUCUAGUUAUAAAUGUAUACUAUGCUUUGCUGUGUAGUAUAUUGUUUUCGUAACAAUGUACUAUAAGAAAUAUUUUCCCCCCUAUUGUUAAUGAAAGUUUCUCUAAGGAGAAUGUUUGCGAAUAUAAUUGCUUAAGGGUAGGAUAUCUGUAUGUCAUAUUUGUCUAUCAAUAGUAAAUUGGGAUAAUUGUAUUCAUCUAUCGAAUGAGAAUUCCUGAUUGAUAGAUUGACUGGAUAUGCAUUGGAUAAUUCUAUUGUAUGUAUGUUUACUUGUUUUUUUGAAACAAGUAAACAUUUACAUUCUACCUGUAUAUAAUGCAUCAUAUGUAUGUUAUAAUUAUCUACCAAUAUUAGUAUUGGUAAUUGGAGCGAUUCAAUUUACUGUCUAAUAGUGUGUAGCGUAAUUAGCAUAUGUUGCAUGAAAUCUAAGGCCAGUAGAUCGGUAAUCCAUCUGACCCGUCUUGA
rnacentral:rRNA from 1 species